AGGACCAAGAAUAGGAGUACUCCAAACUCCCGUUAUUCUCAGGACAGUCUGUAGACAACCGAUUUUGUCAAGGGUUGCUUUUGGAUUUGCAUCCUUAGAAAUUGAAGGUCUACAGUCUUGUAUAUUUUCGGUUAUUUUGGAGCUCAUAUGUCAUUGUAGAAUAUUUUUGUAUACCUGGUUUAUUGUGCUAUUAUAUAUAUGAAUUUAUUUUG